GGCGUUUUUAUGGGUUAGUGCAAUACUGUAGCCACUCUUGAGGCUAUAAAUACCCUGCUUAUCAAAGUGUGAAACCCAACUAUCGUCACAGGAGAAUUGACAAAUAGAAAUAGCUUUAAUCCUAUCCGAAUCAAUCGGAAGAAAAAUUAGUAGAAAUGAAAUUCAAAUUCCUACUCCUUGAAGGCUCAUUAAUCAACUCAGACACCAUAGAUUUGGUGCCAAGUUUUACUUGGCUCAGUAUUUUAC
rnacentral:lncRNA from 1 species